rnacentral:rRNA from 1 species
UUCUGGCUCAGGAUGAACGCUAGCUACAGGCUUAACACAUGCAAGUCGAGGGGCAGCAUGUGGUUGCUUGCAACCAAUGAUGGCGACCGGCGCACGGGUGAGUAACGCGUAUCCAACUUCCCCUUAGUAGAGGAUAGCCCGGCGAAAGUCGGAUUAAUACUCUAUGUUCUUCAAUGCGGACAUCUAAGUUGAAGCAAAGAUUUAUCGCUAAGGGAUGGGGAUGCGUCUGAUUAGGUUGCAGGCGGGGUAACGGCCCACCUGGCCUACGAUCAGUAGGGGUUCUGAGAGGAAGGUCCCCCACACUGGUACUGAGACACGGACCAGACUCCUACGGGAGGCAGCAGUGAGGAAUAUUGGUCAAUGGGCGCGAGCCUGAACCAGCCAAGUAGCGCGCAGGACGACUGCCCUAUGGGUUGUAAACUGCUUUUAUCAGGGAAUAAAGUGAGGCACGCGUGCCUUUUUGUAUGUACCUGAUGAAUAAGGACCGGCUAAUUCCGUGCCAGCCGCCGC